CUCUCCAAUGGCCCUCCAACGGUCUGAGGGACAGUGUCCUGGCCCCCUGUUUACAAAGUUUGAGGACCCCUGCUCUUAUGCCAUGCUCCAGAGUUAACUGCUGUUAAAAAUAAAUGAGGGAAGAAACUGAGGCCUCGAGAGCUUAAGUAAUUUGCCCAGAAUCAGACUCAGAAGCCAAGGAACUCAAUAUCGAAAAAAGGACCAGGAGAAAAAUGGAUUAAUGAAGGCUCCUUCCCCGAGAUCUCAGUGAAGAAUGUUAGUGAUCAUCUGUGGUUUGGCCUGUCCAGGGUCCUUCAUCCACACGCAGAAUCUGUCUCUUUCUUUUGGAGAAUCACAUCUGCUCAACACUGAUCGUAUGGUUUGCACAGAGAUGGUGCCGCUCCAUGGCUUUAGUGAGGACUCAAGUACAGUUAGUGAGAAGACCACGUCCUCUGGCCACAGCAAUGUGGGCCCUUGACCAAUGCCAGAUCAAACAGAGGCAAUCCUGGUCUUGCUCAAAUUCUUGAGAGGGGUCAUUUCUUUCGGGUGGGAUUGCUGAGCUAGCAAAGUAUAUAUCUAGAGCUGCUAGAGGUCAUCUUGCCACCAUGGAAGGAGAACCUGCCAGAAAACAAAGACAACAUAAAAGAAAGAAGAACCAAGAGAUGGAUACUAAUUCCUGACAAUGCCGUGUGAGUAGCUGAAUCCAUCCGUACCUGAAGCCGGCUUGGAUGUUUGUUAUAGGAAAAAAUAAACUUAUUUUUUUGUUGUUGUUGUUCAAGUCAGU